UUGGAGGGCAAGUCUGGUGCCAGCAGCCGCGGUAAUUCCAGCUCCAAUAGCGUAUAUUAGAGUUGUUGCAGUUAAAAAGCUCGUAGUUGAAUUUCGGGAUCAAUAUAUCGGUCGUGCCUUUGGUACGUACUGGUAUCAUUGAUUUCUCCUUUCUGACGAAUCAUGAUGUCAUUAAUUUGGUGUUAUGAGGAGUUAGGACUGUUACUUUGAAAAAAUUAGAGUGUUUAAAGCAGGCAUUAGCUUGAAUACAUUAGCAUGGAAUAAUGAAAUAGGACGUUUGACCCUAUUUUGUUGGUUUUUAGGAUCGACGUAAUGAUUAAUAGGGAUAGUUGGGGGCAUUAGUAUUCAAUUGUCAGAGGUGAAAUUCUUGGAUUUAUUGAGGACUAACUACUGCGAAAGCAUUUGCCAAGGAUGUUUUCAUUAAUCAAGAACGAAAGUUAGGGGAUCGAAGACGAUCAGAUACCGUCGUAGUCUUAACCAUAAACUAUGCCGACUAGGGAUCGGAUGAUGUUAAUUUUAUAAUGACUCAUUCGGCGCCUUACGGGAAAC
rnacentral:rRNA from 1 species